CUACUUACCUAGAAGGUGGUUUUCUCAGCGCCAGGCUUAUCUAUUGCAUUCUAGGUGUGUGAUUUCCCCAAAUGUGGGAAAUUCAACUGCAUAAUUUGUGGUAGUGGGGGACUGUGUUUGUGCUCUUGCCUA
rnacentral:snRNA from 1 species